rnacentral:tRNA from 1 species
AGGAGUUAGUCUAACAUAAGACCACUAAUUUCGACUUAGUAAAUUCUGACUUCAGAACUCCUGAU